rnacentral:rRNA from 1 species
GAUGAACGCUGGCGGCGUGCCUAACACAUGCAAGUCGAACGAUGAAACCGCCUCCGGGCGGACAUGAAGUGGCGAACGGGUGAGUAACACGUGACCGACCUGCCCCCCGCCCAGGGACAGCCCCCCGAAAGGGGGAUUAAUACCUGGUACUCCGGAAGCGGCGCAUGCCGCCCCCGGGAAAGCUCUGGCGGCGGGGGAUGGGGUCGCGGCCCAUCAGGUAGACGGCGGGGCAGAGGCCCACCGUGCCGACGACGGGUAGCCGGGUUGAGAGACCGACCGGCCACAUUGGGACUGAGAUACGGCCCAGACUCCUACGGGAGGCAGCAGUGGGGAAUUUUGCGCAAUGGGCGCAAGCCUGAUGCAGCGACGCCGCGUGAGGGAUGACGGCCUUCGGGUUGUAAACCUCUUUCAGCAGGGAAGAAGCGUAAGUGACGGUACCUGCAGAAGAAGCGCCGGCUAACUACGUGCCAGCAGCCGCGGUAAUAC